UCUGCUUUAUGAAUGAUGAUAUUUUCAUCGUGUUUUAGAUUCUUCAGACAAUUCCUUUCUUGUAGUGAAAGGUUAAAUUCAGUUUUAGGGACAUAUUUAGAUAAUUCCAUUUUCGUAUAGAAAAUAUAUUUUUCAAUAGGGUUGUCGGCAAAUGCCGGCACCGAAAAUUUUGAUUUCUCCUUGAAAGGAUGAAUUUUACUGUGUAUAUUUCGAUUUUCAAGGAAAAAGUAUGAGAGUCUCAAAUUUCUUUCCGUUUUUUUUUAAAUCUAUCAUUAUUUGUUUUGUGGAUGUUUUUGUUGUUGGAACAAAGUUUAGUCCUUUAGCAAGAACUAAUGUUUCUGGUUGUGAUAAUGUUUUAGAGGAUAGGUUCAGCACAAAUUGUUUUGCAAUUUUAAGCUUGAUUUCUUUUUUAUGUAGUUUUAUUUUAUUUUUAACUGCUUUGAAUUUUUCAAUGUUUUUAUACUUUUUCUUGUUUUUAUUAAGUCUUCUAUGUUUUCCCAUGCUUUUCUUUUUGCAUUGGUAAUAAUUUUAUUUUGUAGUAUUUCAUAUACUUAAAUAUGAUUCUGUAUCACUAUUCUCAUUGGAUGUUUUUAAUUGUGUAAUGACCACAAGGGGUGUGUCCUUCUUCAUUAUUGUUUGGUCAGUAUCUAUAAUUGCUAUCUAGAUCAAUCGUGGAUACGCAGUAGGCAAUAAAUAAACAAACCUAGGGAUAAAAUAUUCCCAGGUUUAUUGGUUUACUGUCAUUAAUUUGCAAUAUAUCAACAAUCCAAGUAAAAGCAAAAGUAGAGUUUAGGUAUUUUAGUAAUCAUUUG
rnacentral:lncRNA from 1 species